rfam:Otolemur garnettii contig179758, whole genome shotgun sequence.
GGGAAAACAGGACAGGGCUAGGGACAUGAGCCACCCUGAGUCCUCAGGCGAAUAGGCUCA